rnacentral:RNase_P_RNA from 1 species
GCGCAGUCGCGGGCAUCAAACGAAAGGCGAUGUCUGAGGAAAGUCCGGGCUCCUGCGGGCAAGGAUAACGGAUAACGUCCGCCGAGGGUGACCUUAGGGAAAGUGCAACAGAAAAGAACCGCCGCAUUUGCGGUAAGGAUGAAAAGGCGAGGUAAGAGCUCACCGGGAGACCGGUAACGGUCUUUGUCCGUGUAAACCCUAUCCGGAGCAAUGCCGCUGUGGAACCGCCUCUGUUCAGGAGGCACGCGCCCGCCGCCGUUCCCAAGGCAGCUAGAGACACGGAGCAACCCGUGUUCGAGAUAGAUGACUGCAUACAACAGAACCCGGCUUACGGG